CCGAGUGUAGGGUUCCUAGCGAGCCCAACCUCCCACCCGUGUUUACUGUAACCUUAGUUGCUUCGGCGGGCCCGCCUUUAAGGCCGCCGGGGGGCAUCAGCCCCCGGGCCCGCGCCCGCCGGAGACACCACGAACUCUGUCUGAUCUAGUGAAGUCUGAGUUGAUUGUAUCGCAAUCAGUUA
rnacentral:misc_RNA from 1 species